AGCCAUAAGAUGCAUCCAUAGGAGACCCUCUGCUGCAACUAAAAUCACUCAUUCUGGGGGCAGCCCUCUGGCAUGUAAUGAGCAGUCCUAUGGAGAAGCCCAUGUGACAGUAGCCAUGCAAGUGACACUGGAAGUGAAGUCUGCAACUCCAGUCAAGCCUUUAGAAGACUGCAGCCCUGGCUGACAGCUUCACAGCAAACUCGUGAGAGACCCUCAGCUUGAACAAUGCAGCUAACCUGUUCCUGGGUUCCUGGCCCUCAAGAACUGUAAGAGAUGAAAAAAAGGUUUGUUUUUUUAAGCUACCAA
rnacentral:lncRNA from 1 species